AAGAAAGUGACAGAACGGUUUUGUGGGUGGCUUGAAACCAUUUAAUGGGGGUUCAAUUCCCUCCUUUCUCG
ensembl:Mt_tRNA